GUCAGAAUGGCCGAGUGGUCUAAGGCGCCAGACUCAAGGUUUAACCUUCUCACUUGUUGAGGCUUCUGGUCUCCGAAUGGAGGCGUGGGUUCAAAUCCCACUUCUGACA
rfam:Danio rerio chromosome 17, GRCz11 reference primary assembly.